rnacentral:rRNA from 1 species
UGGGGAAUUUUGGACAAUUGGGCGAAAGCCUGAUCCAGCAAUGCCGCGUGUGUGAAGAAGGCCUUCGGGUUGUAAAGCACUUUUGUCCGGAAAGAAAUCCUUGGCUCUAAUACAGUCGGGGGAUGACGGUACCGGAAGAAUAAGCACCGGCUAACUACGUGCCAGCAGCCGCGGUAAUACGUAGGGUGCAAGCGUUAAUCGGAAUUACUGGGCGUAAAGCGUGCGCAGGCGGUUUGCUAAGACCGAUGUGAAAUCCCCGGGCUCAACCUGGGAACUGCAUUGGUGACUGGCAGGCUAGAGUAUGGCAGAGGGGGGUAGAAUUCCACGUNUAGCAGUGAAAUGCGUAGAGAUGUGGAGGAAUACCGAUGGCGAAGGCAGCCCCCUGGGCAAUACUGACGCUCAUGCACGAAAGCGUGGGGAGCAAACAGGAUUAGAUACCCUGGUAGUCCACGCCCUAAACGAUGUCAACUAGUUGUUGGGGAUUCAUUUCCUUAGUAACGUAGCUAACGCGUGAAGUUGACCGCCUGGGGAGUACGGUCGCAAGAUUAAAACUUAAAGGAAUUGACGGGGUCAUAGCUGUUUCCU